UAUCCCCUGCGAUGUGCGUGAUUAACAUUCGUUUUUUGAGCCAACACCUUGGAACCGGGAGCCUUUCCUUGUUUGCCGUGUGCACGUCCGUCGGUAUUCCGCGCAAGCGGGCGAUGGAAAGCCUGAAGCGACAAUACUAGGCACCCAUUUUUAAGAUGGUUCAAAAAGGUGGUUAACACGGCAUAGGCGGGGUUUUU
rnacentral:other from 1 species